CCUACGGGUGGCAGCAGUGAGGAAUAUUGGUCAAUGGGCGCGAGCCUGAACCAGCCAAGUAGCGUGAAGGAUGACUGCCCUACGGGUUGUAAACUUCUUUUAUAAAGGAAUAAAGUGAGGCACGUGUGCCUUUUUGUAUGUACUUUAUGAAUAAGGAUCGGCUAACUCCGUGCCAGCAGCCGCGGUAAUACGGAGGAUCCGAGCGUUAUCCGGAUUUAUUGGGUUUAAAGGGAGCGUAGAUGGGUUGUUAAGUCAGUUGUGAAAGUUUGCGGCUCAACCGUAAAAUUGCAAUUGAUACUGGCAGCCUUGAGUACAGUUGAGGUAGGCGGAAUGCGUGGUGUAGCGGUGAAAUGCAUAGAUAUCACGCAGAACUCCGAUUGCGAAGGCAGCUUACUAAACUAUAACUGACACUGAAGCACGAAAGCGUGGGGAUCAAACAGGAUUAGAUACCCCAGUAGUC
rnacentral:rRNA from 1 species